AGGUACAUUCUCGAUUCUCAACAAAUACUUUCCCCAGCUGGGACCUUAUUAGCCACAAUGGAGAAAUCAAUACCCUUAGAGGAAAUGUUAACUGGAUGAAGGCACGUGAGGGACUACUUAAGUGUACUAACUUGGUUUAUCAAAAAAUGAGUUAAAGAAGCUGUUACCAAUUGUGGAUGCCAGUUCAUCCGAUUCUGCUUCUCAAAAGAUUUUACUAUUCAUAAGGCACACGACAUACUUCUGUUAUGACGCCUCCUAAGAUUCUUUUGGAUGCCUUAAGAAAGGCAUUCUUGACCAUAGAAGCAGUAUGCUUGAUGCAGCUGCUAUCAAGAGGUUUCUGGUGAGGAACAUUGUUGAGCAAGCUGCUGUUAGGGAUGUCCAGGAGGCUUAUGUUUAUGAAGCCUACACUCUUCCUAAGCUGUAUGCAAAGAUGCAGUACUCUGUUUCCUGUGCUAUCCACUCUCACGUUGUGAGGGUUUGAUCUAGGGAGAAGAGGAGGAGCCGUGAGGUCCCUCAGCGUUUCAGGUGCCGGGUAUGUUUGAAGUUUUGUUUGCCAUCGAAGUGUCUGCUCUUGUAUCUAUAAGCAAUUGCCAUUCAAGUGUCUGCUUUUGUAUCUAUGAGCAAUUUAGUUUGAGGUUCAAAGUGGGAUUCGACGCUGAUUCACUGAUUUGGUGUGUGGAAGUAAGCAUUACACAUUGUUGUUAAUAGCUGAAUACUUUUAUGAGCAGCAAACCUGAUACCUAAAGUGGUUCAUAUACUAGGUUUAAGAUUGUUUCGCGUGCCUUUUUUUCUCUGGCUACUGCCAAUACCUGCAUAUAUUAUUUUUGAUAGAAGUAGCAAGAGAGUUGGUGAUACUCUUUUUGGGACAAAUGACUUAGGGUGGGGGUUAUCAUAUCUUCUAAGAUUUUUUCCCUUUAGUACUAGUCAUCUUGUUGCUUGGUGCAUGCUUUGUGAGUUUCUACGGUGAAAUGUAGUUUGCCAUUUUCCUUGUGGUUCUCAUCAUUAUGGUGAUGAACUUUAGGGUGUAGUUUUCCUACUUUGCAUGAUCUACUUGGACUUUUUUUCCUUUCUUUUCUAUCCUUAUAUUUUUUUGUUCUUAUUGAAUUCAGAGCUUGGGAAGUGCCUGACAAAUGGUUUUUGUCUGAAUCAGUAAUCUAAUACAGGGAUUUUUAUUUAUUUAUUUUUAAAUGUCUAUGCUUGUUAUUUUGUGUCCGGGUGUUUUAUUUGCCUAUAUGAGGAUAUAUUUGAAGCAUGGUGUUCAUAUUUUCAAACUACAAAUCAGUUUCCGUAUAAGAACAUCUUUCCCUCUUCCCAAUACGAACUCAUUUUCCCUUUGUUAGAUGGUGACUUUAUGGAAGUAGAAUUUGAUAUAAAUUGGUUUGUUGUAGACUGUAGUUAGAUAGAACGUACUUCUCAUUGAAAAAACGUAAUGCAAAGGGAAACUUCUCAUUUGGAUAAGAACCAUUAAUUAAUUUAGUAAAGUAACCAAGUUCUACUAGUAAAAACUAUUUGUGCGUUUUUUCCCUUAUUCGUGUUCUUACACUAACCUAAACCUUUCCAUUUCAUUUUGUAUCAGGAGGAUCAGCCUAGGCCUAGCGCACCAGGUGGACCUGGUCAGGCUCCACGCCCUGCCGCUGGAGUGGCAACUGCCCGUCCAUGAAAAGUCACUGUUUCUGUGGUUCUAUUGUUGAGGAUGAUUAGACUUCUGAGGCUAUUUACUUUGGUUGUUGCCUUGCAUUAUUACCAUUUUGAUUUACAAUGCGUCUUCUUCUCUGGUUAUUACUUCUGUAAUAGUGUCAAUUUAUUUCAUACUAUAUAUAAUUUUGAGUAAGGCUAGAUUUUGCUGACCAUUUUGUAGUAGAUGUAGUAAUAUCAUGAUGAAUUGUGAACAAAUUAUACUGCAUGUAGUUAUUGCAGUAGUAGUAUCUUCUACACUAGCCUUAAAGUA